UAAAGAAUUAACGGAGAACUUUUUUUUCCAAAUAUCCAAGUUUGUCAUUCCAGGUCCAAUUGAAGGACUUUCUUCCAAAAAAAGGCCUAUGUGGAUUCCCUGUUUAUCCAUUAAAACCCUAUUAGGAUAAGCUUUCAAUAAGCCAAUUUUACUAGUCCAAGACAAUAUUUCAUCUCGAAACACUUCGUUCUCCCCGAACAACACAAGUACUUUCCCGUCUUGAAUGGGAGGAAUUUUACUCCAAAUGCUUAUAUCACAGUUCAUGUUGAUGUUUACAACAGAAGAAGUAAAUAGUGACUCUUCAUUAUUAACAUAGGCUUUUCCGAAUCGAUUCAGAGUUUCAUAACAAAUUACAUCAAGGCCAUCGUUGGCCCUGUAUGAACCAAUCUUUUUAGCAUUUGUCAAAUCUAACCAAGGUGAAAUUAAAGCAACACCUUUAGGCCAAACAACUUUGUUAAGUUUGGAUAAUUCUGAAAUUUGGUAUAAAAACGAUAAAAUCAAUGUACCACCUGCAGAUUCACCUAACACAGUUAUAUUUCUAAAACCUUUUGAUAUAAGGACUUGAUAGACGUUAAGGCAUUCCCUAACUUGUUUGGGAUAUGUGUAUCCUUGAGAUACCAAAGAAUAAUCCACCAGUAAAAUAGAAGGUGGUCUGUUCAUCGUCGUUGAGAAUAGUUUAUAUAAAUUAGAUAAACCAACCAAAAUUACUUUGUCAUAAGGAAGAGCCAUCAUUCCACCAUGCAAGUGCAGAAUAAUAGGAUCCGAUUUUGUCAUUCCAUUAACCUUUGCGAGCCAUACGGAAUCGGGCAUAUCCUGAUUAUCAUAUUUGUGAGUAAAUUUUUCGCCAUAGUUAGGUAACUCAUUUUCGGAAUUUAGCUUUUUUCGGUUUUUUAACAAAGUACUUCCAAUCGAAUCAUGGAAGAAAAUUCGAACAUCUUUAACAGUUAAGCCUUUGGAUAAAUGUAACAUUGAAGAACAGAAAAGAGUCGACAGUAAAUUAUGACGAAGUUCAUCGUGCGGAAAAUUUGUUCCUAUAGUAAAAUACAAUAUUGUUGUACCGACUAAUAUUAUUGGUAAAGUCAGUAUUCUAUACAACAGAGACAAAGAUAUCAUCCCAGUGAUAAAGGAGACUAUUUGUUAUGGCUUGGUCCGGAAUAUGUGGUGAUACAAACAGGUUAAAUGGGGUUAGCAGAUUGAAAGUGCGGCAUCAGAUCCUACCUUAAAGUCCUACGUCAUUAUACAAUUUACCAAUUGCAUAUAUAAACACACUUUUAUCUCUUUUGCAAUAAUUAAUUUAAAUAA